rnacentral:rRNA from 1 species
GACGAACGCUGGCGGCGUGCUUAACACAUGCAAGUCGAGCGGUAAGGCCCUUUCGGGGGUACACGAGCGGCGAACGGGUGAGUAACACGUGGGUGACCUGCCCUCAGCUCUGGGAUAAGCCUGGGAAACCGGGUCUAAUACUGGAUAUGACUCCAUGACGCAUGUUGUGGGGUGGAAAGCCUUGUGCGGCUGAGGAUGGGCCCGCGGCCUAUCAGCUUGUUGGUGGGGUGAGGGCCUACCAAGGCGACGACGGGUAGCCGGCCUGAGAGGGCGACCGGCCGACACUGGGACUGAGACACGGCCCAGACUCCUACGGGAGGCAGCAGUGGGGAAUCUUGCGCAAUGGGCGAAAGCCUGACGCAGCGACGCCGCGUGAGGGAUGACGGCCU